rnacentral:rRNA from 1 species
UACGAAGGGGGCUAGCGUUGUUCGGAAUUACUGGGCGUAAAGCGCACGUAGGCGGACUAUUAAGUCAGGGGUGAAAUCCCGGGGCUCAACCCCGGAACUGCCUUUGAUACUGGUAGUCUAGAGUCCGGAAGAGGUGAGUGGAAUUCCGAGUGUAGAGGUGAAAUUCGUAGAUAUUCGGGGGAACACCAGUGGCGAAGGCGGCUCACUGGUCCGGUACUGACGCUGAGGUGCGAAAGCGUGGGGAGCAAACAGG